rnacentral:rRNA from 1 species
CCUACGGGAGGCAGCAGUGAGGAAUAUUGGUCAAUGGACGCAAGUCUGAACCAGCCAUGCCGCGUGCAGGAAGACGGCACUAUGAGUUGUAAACCGCUUUUGUCCGAGGGCAAACGCAGAUACGCGUCCCCGUCUGAAAGUAUCGUACGAAUAAGGAUCGGCUAACUCCGUGCCAGCAGCCGCGGUAAUACGGAGGAUUCAAGCGUUAUCCGGAUUUAUUGGGUUUAAAGGGUGCGUAGGCGGUCGGAUAAGUUAGAGGUGAAAUCCCGGGGCUCAACCCCUUCGAGCCGUUGAAACUGGUUGUCUUGAGUGGGAGAGAAGUAUGCGGAAUGCGUGGUGUAGCGGUGAAAUGCAUAGAUAUCGCGCAGAACUCCGAUUGCGAAGGCAGCAUGCCGGCGCUCAACUGACGCUCAUGCACGAAAGUGUGGGUAUCGAACAGGAUUAGAUACCCGGGUAGUC